AUGACAGAGCAGAGGGAAGGCUGGCCCAGCCAAUCCCGGAGCCGCUGCAGCGCCGGUUCCCCGCACACACUGUGGUGCAGGGACAGAGAGGAGGGGGCGGCUGGCCCCGCGCCUCCCCUGCCCGGGGCCCCCGGCCGCUCCCCGGGGAGGAGGGCAGCUGGACGGAGGCUGCCUGGGGCCAGGGUGCAAGGGUGCAGCCGCACCUCCCUGCUGCCCGGCGUGGGAAGAAGAACGCGGAGCCAGGCUGCUGAGGGCCUGCGAGGAAGACAGCAGACCUCGGGCCGGGCCAGGCGACCCAGAGACCCGCCUGCACUGGAGCCAGAAGAGGCCAUCGUGAGUGUCUGCUCAGACUCUUCACGUAGCCGGCGAGGAAUGAAAGCAAAAGUGCGGCGUUACUCAGAGCCAGGGAAGAGCCGGCCUGGGGAACCUGGACGGCAGUGUUUCCUGCUUCCUCGUGUUUUCCAUCAAAAGCUAAGAGGCGGCGGGGAUUGCGGUCCUGGAAGGAGAACGGACUAGGGUGAACGCCUUAGAGAAGAACCGUGGGGAGUCCUCGGAUGUAGGGGAGAAGGAGGAGACACGUGACUGCAGCACGGAGCCUGGGAGGCGGGCGGCUCCAGGGAUGGAGAGUGGGUCGGAAGCUGCCAGAUGAUGAACGCAGCCGCGAGCGGAGAAUAUAAAAGUUCCACGAAGACAGAGCCUUUUUCAUCGUUACUGAAGCUCCAAUACUUUGGCACCUGAUGCGAAAAGCUGACUCAUUUGAAAAGACCCGGAAAGAUUGAGGGCAGGAGGAGAAGGGGACGACAGAGGAUGAGAAGGUUGGAUGGCAUCACCGACUCAAUGGACGUGGGUUUGGGUGGACUCCGGGAGUUGGUGAUGGACAGGGAGGCCUGGCGUGCUGCAGUCCAUGGGGUUGCAAAGAGUCAGACACGACUGAGUGACUGAACUGAACUGAACUAAAACUGAAGCAUAACAUACAGGAAAGUACACAGAGAGUGAGGACCUUUUUGUUUCUAUUCUUUUUUAUUGUGGUAAACACAUAUAAAAUGUACCAUCGUAACCACUUUGAGUAUACAGUUCACUGAUAUUCUGUACAGUCAUAUUCUUGUACAACCAUCACCACCAUCCAUCUCCAGAAUUCUUUUCGUCUUUCAGAAUUGAAACUCAGUACCCAUUAAAUACUUGGGCUUCCCUGGUGGCUCAAAUGGUCCAGAAUCGGCCUGCAGUGCGGGAGACCUGGGUUUGAUCCCUGGGUGGGGAAGAUCCCCUGGAGGAGGGCAUGGCCACCCACUCCAGCACUCUUGCCUGGAGAAUCCCUGUGGGCAGAGGAGCCUGGUGGGCUACAGUCCAUGGGGUCACAGAGAGCCGGGCACGACUGAGCAACUAAGCACACACGCACACAUUAAAUACUAACUCCCCAUCCCCUCCCCACAACCCCUGGCAAACACACCCACCUACUUCCUACUACUCUAGGCACUUUAUAAAAGUAGAAUCAUACAGUAUUUGCCUUUUGGGGGGGACUGGCUUAUUUCACUUAACAUCAUGUGUUUAUCUGUGCUAUAGCACGUGUCAGAAUUUCCUUCCUUUUAAAGCUGAAUAAUAUCUCUUUGUAUGGAUAUAUUGCAUUUCAUUUACCCAUUCAUCUGUGGAUGGACACUCGGGGCAAGAACUUUUAUAUGGUUUGCUUGCCAGUGAAUGGAGUAGGUCCCGGCCUUAGUAUGUGCUCAUCAAAUAAUUGUUGAAUGAAUUUUAGUUCUAUUGAAUGUGAACUGAUGGUAGGCUACCUAGGUGGGCUGUCCAACAGGUGUUCCCAGAUGACCGAGGACUGAAGGUGAGGUAGGGAUGAGGCCAGCCGUGCGAAGGUGCUCUCAGGGUGCAGGGGGCCAAGCUGGGAGCCGGGCCUGGGCUCAGCACGGGGGAGGGCAGAGCAGAAAAGGUGGUCUCAGGGAAGUGCUAUAUGCUACACACUAAGAGAGGCGUUUAGAAGGGAGUGCUGAGUACUAUCCAAGUCAGGAGGGAUGCGGUCUGAGGAAGGAACACGAGUUGACAAAUAGUGGUAGACCCAAGGUGAACUUGACUCUGUCUGACAUCAUUGUUGACCUUGAAAAGAAAUUCGUGGUGGAGGUAAGGCCAGAAUCUGCGAUCAGGGGAAAUAUACCAAAACAGCCAGAGCCAUUAAAUGCUGAGCGCCGGAAGGCGCCAGGCCCCACAGCAGGAGACACAGCAGCGAAGAUGCAUGAUGCUCGGACCAUUCUAGAGCUUCACGCAAGUCUCGAACUAGAGUGUGGCCUUGGAAUACUGUUGGGCUCUGCACAGUAAAGAGGGGAGAGACGACAGCCCCAGGUACAUAAGCAGCGAGAAAAAGAGCUUUGUAGAGGGAGUGGGGACCUGACUGGAUACCACAGGAAAGCCAGAUCCGUGAGGCAGAGGAUACGUGGGGCAAAGUGGGAAAUAUCUUGGCCUUUCUGUUCUUUGCUUUUAACAUUGAUUAGGAGAUGACUAUUGGGAAGCUUGAGUGAUCUACAUCGAAACACCGCAUCUAACAUAACUUAGCAUUCCUACUUACAAUUCCUGGACACUAGUCCCCAGGACAACCUGGUUACCCUGUAAGUACAAUAGAAUAUUUUACCAUGGAUGCUGGUAGCUGUCGAGACCUGGGUGCUUGUGACAGACACACCUGGCUCAAAGGUGAGUGCGGCUGUUUCUGGGCUGCGUGCUGGAGAAUCCAAGCCGCCGUUCAGUGUAACUGCUAUGCAGCAAACUCCCAGCGAGAGCCAGGCCAGGUGCUAGAUGCUCGGAGGUCAAAGCGAAAUGGCUGAGAGAUAAAAAGUCAGACUUGAACCGGGACUGUCACCGGACUCACCUGCGUCUUCAAGGCUUUCUGCAGGGGAGAUGUUGGGCUGGAGACUGAGAAAGCUGAUGCCCAAACCUGCCACCACCUCACUCUUCAGCAGCUUCCACACAAGUGCUCACUGCCACCACUGUACCCUGGGCCAGGCAAAAGCCUGGCCUCUCAUAAUGAAAGUGAAAGUCGCUCAGUCGUGUCCGACUCUUUACGACCCCAUGGACUGUAGCAUCCAUGGAAUUCUCCAGGCUAGAAUGCUGGAGUGGGGAGCCUUUCCCAUCUCCAGGGGAUCUUCCCAACCCAGGGAAGCCCAGGUCUCCCACAUUGCAGGCGGAUUCUCUACCACCUGAGCCAGAAGGGAAGCCCAAGAAUACUGGAGUGGGUAGCCUAUCCCUUCUCCAGCAGGUCUUCUCGACCCAGGAAUCGAACCGGGGUCUCCUGCACUGCAGGUGGAUUCUUUCCCAACUGAGCUAUCAGGGAAGCCCACUCUCAUACAUAGCCCCCACUGAGAGAGCAGUUUGGUGAAUUCCUAUGUGCACCCACAAGGUUCGCCCCAGAUCUCAAGGAAAUAUUUAGAAAUGGUUUUGAAAGAUAAUAUCCAGUUAAUUUCCCCAGACCCAGGAUGCCUGUAAGCUAGUCAUCUCAAGGAAAAGGCCUAGAGCAUUCCCACAGGACAUAAAUGAGGGAUCCAAGCGUGCGAGAACACAGAUCCUCUCUACAGGGUACCAGUCAGAUGACUCCCCCAGGGCAUGAACCAAGGCAGAGGGUGUGAGGCAGGAGAGGCCAGAGUCCUUAGGUACCUGUUUCUGAGUACCAGGGUUUACCUGGCAGAGCUGAGAAGUGCAAAGCCUCACACUGCCUGCCUCUAGCUCUGAGACGCGGAAAGGGAAGCUCAGACGCUACCAGGCGGCUCUGAAUCUCUGCAGGCUCAGCCUGUGUUAGCUCUUGACACCACUGUUCACCCCACAGUAGAUUCCCUUAGCAUCCAGCCUCGCCUGCUUGGCAUAGGUUUUAGGGAGCCUUAUACAUUGAUACUGGAGAAGGACAUGGCAACCCACUCCAAUACUCCUGCCUGGAAAAUCCCAUGGACGGCGGAGCCUGGUGGGCUGCUGUCCAUGGGGUGGCAGAGAGUCAGACACAACUGAGCGACUUCACGACUGAGCGACUUCACUUUCACUUUCAUACACUGAUACAAAGAGUGAAAUAAUAACGACAGCCAAAUUUAUCAAACGUUUGCUGUGUCCAGAUGCCCGCUUCUUGUUUCUGUGUUAUUAGCUCGGUUAAACCUUGUGGUGACUCCACGGGAUAACUGCUCUGCUUGACAGAUGAGGAAACCGAGUCACCGAGAGGCACGGUCUCUUUCCUGAAAUCAUUCAGCUAGUGACAGGUGGAGUUGGAAACUGAAGCCGUCUGCCCACAGAGCCAGGACUCUUCAGGGAAACUGGCCCCCGUGGGGUGUGUAGGAUCCACCUGAGGAGGGAGCAGAGAGGUCAGCUGCUGAGCAGUCGGGCGCGGAGAUCCGGUUUCUCCCCGUCGGAGUGGCUGCCCCCGCCGGAGUGGCUGCCCCCGCCGCUUCCGGGAAGGGCUGGCCGCCUGCUGCAUUACCCGUGUUUGCCGGGUGGAUUAGCCUCUCUCUUCCUUGUGUCAAAACAAGCCAAGCAGGAAAAAAAAAAAAAAAAUCAACAAACAACACAUGAUUUCCAGCAGGAAAAGCUCUGCAGCCUCUAGGGUAAGAGGGAGAUCUCUGCUGCGGAGGCUGAAACGCCCCAGGUUGUGUCCCAGCUGUAGGCGUGUGCUGUGGGGACCCGAGACCCUGGGCUUGAUGGGUCGUUGCCCCGAGACCCUGGCCGCACUGGGCGCUCAGUGCCCGCCAGCUGCCUUCCUCCUCUGCUUCCCAUCAUGCCAUGUGAGAUUCGCUGGUGUCCCAUCCUGCCAGGAGCUAGCUCUGGGUCGUGGCAAUCUCGGUUUCCAUCUACAGUGUCACGAGACUGGGUUUGAGCGUUGAUUUUUUUUUUUUAAUUUUUUUUUUAAAUUGCAGAGAAACAUGUUCCUCCAAUAAAACAACUUUGGAUAGGCGCAGACGAUGAAGCAGUUUAAAGCAGAGGUGUAAAUUUUCAAAAAAUAAACAGGCAGAGAAAACAGCUUAGGCCACGAAUUCUCUGCAGAUUGUUCCCUGAGCCUGACUGGUUCUGUGUCCAGACUGUUCUACACACCAUUCCUUGCCCCUUGGCCUUUGCUCCUUCCGUUGUUAUUGGAAGAUUUGGAUUCCUCAGAGCCCCCUUCAGCUUCCACCUCCUCCGUGGAACCUCUGCCUCCUGUGAAUCCUGCCCCCUCCAGGUUCCCGUUGCAUUUAUUAUCUG
rnacentral:lncRNA from 1 species